ACCGCGCUAGCUUAAAGAUCACUUAUUAUUAACAUGACCAAUAAGCAGACUGGCACAGAUAUGAAACUAAUAGUUUUACAGUCUUGGUUAAUGUAUUUUUUAUUUUUUUUGUGUGUUCCAUGAAUCUACAACGGUCAACGGACAAUGAGCUGACACAAGAUGGAAAUAAAUGGAGGUUGGUUUAAAAUUCCAUCUGAAGGGAUGUCACCAUGUUCCCCGAACUAACCAGGCCGUUGACCUGAGUCCGGGGGUAGCCGGGCCUUGACACUCUGAAGAGCAGCGAGUAGGACUUGACCAUGUGAGAGUUGCUGGGUUCAAACUCGCUGCUGGGAACCAGCAGCGAGGGGAAGGAGCCCGGCUUGGCCGAGACUCCGGCGCUGGUGUCGGGGUUCAGAGGAACCUGCUUCUUCCCCGUGGGGACCUGCUUCACUGGACAGCUCACAUCCUGGACACGGAGGCAGGAAAAGACAUUUCACAUGUGUUCCCUUGACACCUGGAUUUUAUUGAAAAAAAAAAAACAUCAGCAGCGUUGAGCUACUUAUAUCAUCACACACACCUUCCUCUUCUUGUGACAGACUUUGACCAGCAGCACCUCCAGAGAUACAGAGUUCUGCUCAUUCUCACUGUCCUGAGAUGGCUUUCCUGAGAACACAAACACUCCCUUUAGUCACACUGAAUCAGUGGAAGGACUAGAUCUAAUAAACGCCAAAUGACGACAGCUGAGAAGGCCAAACUUACCAGCUUUAUGAAAGAAGCCAGUAAAGGUGAGCUGCAAAUUAGAGGCCAAGCUGUGGGAAAAACAAACCGAACUUUAAAAUGUUCUUACAAACUCUUACAGGUGAUGUUUCAUUUGAUCAUAUAUCUACAAGAUGUGCGAUCCCAUGGUUAUGUCUUAAAGCAAGGCUGUUCUUGGCAGGAUGUUGCAUUAGUAUGAGACGGCUUCCUUCAUGUACAUGACCACAUGGCCAGGAAUGUGUUACAUUGUUCUGAAAGUGUGUGCUUGUGCUGUUUGCAAAACCCAUGAAUACCUAGAAUAUGAGGAUUUACAGGAAAACAAAGUGACUGAAACCGCCACGUCCCUGCUGAUACGAGUUAUCUUAACUAUAACUCAAUAUCCUAGUAGUCGUUUUCAUGAGUAGCUUCUUAUAUGAAAAUAGAAAACAAUCUGAAGGAGCUGGAAAAAAUUUUUAACUAAUUGUGGAUGAUAGCGAUGCUGUAACAGCUCAGAAAACAAAAAAAAAACUAUAAAAUCUUUGGGAAUACAAACAAACACUUUUCUUCACCAUGUCAU